CUGCGAGACUGAGAUGAUGAUUAUUCUCCAUCUUCUAAGAGACCAAAGACCAACGAGCCACCAGUUCCAGAACCUGCCAAUGUUGGGCAACAGAAAGUGAGGGAGUUCAACUCUGAUCUUUGUCUCCUUGGAGGCCCUCACAAUCCAGUGGAGGAAGUGAAACUCAUCUGCCUCUGUCCCUCUGGGUGCGCCUCAUGCCAGGUGCAUCUGUGGACAUGCGCCAUGCUACUGGGCUUCCAAAGUUGGAGAAAGUUGCCAGGCUCAGUUUUCAGAGAAAUGGAAUAAUCAUAUCGCUGAUCUAUGUAAAUAAGUUGAAGAAUUGUCUG
rnacentral:lncRNA from 1 species